rnacentral:lncRNA from 1 species
AAGACUUCGAUUGGCUAGGCCUCAGUCACGUGCUCAUCUCUGGACCAAUCACUGCAAGAGCAUGGGAGGGGCACCGUGACUGGUCAGGCCCAGGUCACGUGCGCAGCCCAGUGGUCAGAAGGGAGGUGAGAGGGAUGGACAGCCCCACCAGAACCACCAGGAGAAGGGCAGUUCCUCAAAGGAAGGAAAACUGGGCGGAUAAAAGCAACAGAUGUCCAGUCUUGCUAUUUUCUGACAUUCAGUGAGAUAGAUGUGAUCAUCCCCAUUUUAUAAUGAGGAGCUGAGGCCCGGAGGGUAAGGUGUCCUGUCCAAGGUUCCAUGGUCUAUGAGUGAUAGCAACGUGAGACCUGAGAGUCUAGGUCACAAAGCCGGCCACGUCCGUCUUCCCCCGUCACUGCGUCUCCUGAGGGUGGAGCGAGGUCCAGAGGGCCCUGGAGAGCCCGUCGGACGGCAGACAAUCCACAGACGAUUCUAUGCACGUGAUGAGUUCUGCGAACAGGUGUGAACAGGGACAGAAAGGAAGCAGCCUUGGCGGGAAAUUCCUCUUGUACCGGACGCCACAGAAGGGCAUUCACAUCCCUUGUCUCAAGGGCGGCUCACCACACCCCUGCCAGGUGGCUGUUGUGAUCCCGUUUCAGUGACGAGUGAGGCUGAGCCUCAGAGAGUUUCCAUGAUACCCCCAGGUCACACAGCCAGACGGCGGGGAGCUGGCAGCCAGCUCCAGCUCUGACGUGCACUUUAGAAAGGUCGCUCUCACUGUCAUGUGAAAGAAGGACUUGGUAAGACAGAGAAAAGCAGAGAGACUCAAAUGAUCUUCACAAGGGGGCCAAGAGCAUUCAGUGGGGGAAAGGGCUGUCUUUUCAAUGAGUGGUGCUGGGAAAACCGGAUCUCCACAUGUGAAAGAAGGAAGUUAGUCCCUACCUCACGCCGUACACGAAACUUCACUCAAAAUGGAUCAGGGACCUAAGUGUAAGGCCUAAAACAGUAAAACUCUUAGAAGAAAACACAGGACCAAAGAUUCAUGAUGCUGGAUUUGGUGAUGAUUCCUUGCAUAAGACUCCAAAGGGACAGGUAACAAAAGGAAAAAUAGACAAAUUGGACUUCAUGAAAAUUUAAAAAUUUUGUGCAUUAAAAAUUACUGUCAACAGAGUAAAAAGGUAACUCCCAGAAUGGGAGAAAAUAUUUACAAAUCAUAUAUCUGAUAAGGAAUUAAUAUCCAGAACAUACAGAGAAGUAAAACUCAACAACAACAAAAAACCCAAAUCAAAAAUGGGCAAAUGACUUGAAUUGACAUUUUUCUAAAGAAGACAUACAAAUGGCCGAUAAGCACAUGAGAGAUGAUCAACACCACUGAUCAUGAGGGAGAUGCAAAUCAAAACCGCAGUGAGUACCACCUCACACCCAUCAGGAUGGCUGUUAUAUUAAAAAGCAAACAAAUGGAAAAUAAGAAGUGUUGGUGAGGAUGUGGACAGACUGGAACCCUCGUGCACCUUUGGUGGGAAUGGAAAAAGGUGCAGCUGCUGUGGAAAACCGUGUGGUGGUUCCUCAAAAAGUUAAAAAUAGAGUUACUAUAUGACCCAGAAAUUCCACCUCUGGGUAUACACCCAGAAGAACGGAAAACAGUCUCGAACAGAUAUUUGCACACCCAUGCGCACAGCAGCAUUAUUCACAACAGCCAAAAUGCGGAAGUAACCCAAGUGCCCGUCAACAGAUGAGCGGAUAAACAAAAUGGGGCACAUCCAUACCAUGGAAUAUUAUUCGGCCCUAAAAAGGAGGGGAAUUCUGACACGUGCCACAACACAGAUGAGCCCUGAGGACAUUAGGCUGAGUGAAUGUACACAUAGAGACACAACAGAGUGUGAUGGAUUCACGGAUCUGGAGCCCCACAGCAGGAUGCAGAAACGUAGCUGGGCGUCAUCGACAUGCAGGUGACCACAAGGGCACGAUCUGCACGAGCUUGCUCAUGGAGGCUUUGAGGAGAGAAGAGGACUGAGUUCCUCGGUCAUGCAGCUCAAGGCAGAGGAGGAGGCCGCUCCGGGGAGGCUGCGGGGCCGGUCUCCGCCCUGCCUGUCUUGAGUCGCCCUCCUUCCCUGGUGACCUCCAGCUGCUGUAAAUACGUCUGCAUCGGGACAACUCCACGCCGCGUCUCCAGUCUGGAUCCUUCCCCUUGCUCCAGCCUCAUCCUCCAACUGGAUGCCUGACACCUCCCUGUCCAACACGCUUCUCCACCGAAAUGUCCAGAACGGAAGCCUUGAUUCCUCACCUGCAGACCCUCUCCUCCCACGGUCAGCCCUCUCCUGGGUGAAUGGCGCUUCCAGCCGCCAAGUCGCUGAGAAUGAAACUGGCACCCUCCUUGACUCCUUUAGCAAAUCCUGCAGACUCUACGAAAUACAUCUUGGGUCCGGUCACUUCUCGCCUCCUCCACCAUCACCUCCCUGGUCCAAGCCUCCGCCCCCUCUCGCCUGGACAGGGGAGUGGCCCCGCAGGGUCCCCCGGCUUCGGUCCUGUCCCACGAGGGUCUAUUCGUCACACGGCCACCAGAGGGCGCCCUCUAGAUUCGGAUCUCGCGGUUUCCCACUCACAGCGUCAAUGGAAACUCGGUAGCGGCGCCCCCAGGUCCUGCCGCCCCUCUUCCCGGGGUGCUUCCUUCGAGCCCCACAGGCCCUCUGGCUGCCCUGACGCGCCCCGAGCUCCUCCUGCCUUUGCCCUCGGCAGGCGCCCACCUGCAUGUUCUUCCCCAUCUUUCAGAGCUGGGUCUGCCCUUCCCCUCCCUUCUCCAUCCUUCUCUUCUGUCACCCUCCUUUGCUAUUUUUUCAUGGCACUUUCACCAGUCGUCUUAGCGUUAUAUUCGUUAUCUUGUUUAUCGUCUGUGUCCCCACUGGGAUGUGAGCUCUCUGGGGGCAGGGACGUCGCUCUCCCACUGUCAUUUCCCCAGGGCGAGUUGAAUGGUGACGAGUGCACAGGGGACUUGCAGGCAGGAGGCCAUCGUCCCUCCCCGGGUCUGGGCCCCACGGUAGGUGUCUUCCCCUCCCUGCUCAGCAUCAGAAGCCCCGGCCCACACAGCAUCGGAGCAGGCAGAGCUGGAGGACUGACUCAUGGCCAGAGCACAGGAGGAGGGCGGGAGGAAGGGGCUCCAUGGAGGAGGGAGAGUCAAACCCGAGACCCGCCCACUGGAGGAGAUGGGGGAUCCAGUGGAUGGAGUGGAGAGCUGCCCCGAGACUCCAGGCCUCUGUCACGAGAGCAAAGGCGUGUCCGUAUCUUGGCUUGUUCUGUGCAGUCCGCGUGUGUGCCUGAGGGCUGGCAGGCCGGCAGAGGCUGGGGUCUCCGCUCCUGCCCUUCCGUGAUAGGGUAGGGACUGGGUCAAGGAGUAGGGAGGUGAGUGGUGGGUGCUGGGGGCUCUGGUGAGGGAUGCCGGAUGCUGAGUCUUGGAGGAGAAAUAGGAUCUGGUCAGGCAGGAGGGGGCGGACAGGGACUUCCAGGCGGAGGGCACGCAGGUGCAAGGACACACUGAGUGUAGCUUUGAAGACCUUCCAGGGGUCUGGCCUGG